rnacentral:rRNA from 1 species
AGAGUUUGAUCCUGGCUCAGAGUGAACGCUGGCGGCAGGCCUAACACAUGCAAGUCGAACGGCAGCACAGCAGUAGCAAUACUGUGGGUGGCGAGUGGCGGACGGGUGAGGAAUGCGUCGGAAUCUGCCUAUUUGUGGGGGAUAACGUAGGGAAACUUACGCUAAUACCGCAUACGACCUACGGGUGAAAGUGGGGGACCUUCGGGCCUCACGCAGAUAGAUGAGCCGACGCCGGAUUAGCUAGUUGGCGGGGUAAAGGCCCACCAAGGCGACGAUCCGUAGCUGGUCUGAGAGGAUGAUCAGCCACACUGGGACUGAGACACGGCCCAGACUCCUACGGGAGGCAGCAGUGGGGAAUAUUGGACAAUGGGCGCAAGCCUGAUCCAGCCAUGCCGCGUGUGUGAAGAAGGCCUUCGGGUUGUAAAGCACUUUUGUCCGGAAAGAAAUCCUUUCGAUUAAUACCCGGGAGGGAUGACGGUACCGA